UCCAGAUAUUUCAAAGAUUUUUACGUUUCUCUAAAGUAUCACCUUUUAAAUCUCAUAAUUGAUUUUCAAAAUAAGUUUUACUUUACAUCUAAAUCUACAUUGACCUAACUAUACAAAAAAAAAAAGAAAAAAAAGAAACGUACGGUUUAUCAUAUAAAGUCUCAUUUGACUUUUGAAAUGACGUCGCUUAACGUGGCUCUUAUCGGUUCCACUUACACGCUGCCUCCACGAAGAGAAAGAUAUGUGACGUAGGUGGGACGCGGGAAGGAGAGGGGAAAAUGGCCGGUGCGAGAACGACUGGACGAGUGUGAGGGUGAUAGUCAUUUGAACUUUGUACAGUUACGUGUGUUGAAUUAUUAACGUUCAUCUUCUCUACGGUGUUUCUGCGGAUAGAUAGAUGAUAAAGAAAAUGGCUUCCAAGUUUUGUUGGCGUAAACAUCAGUAUUCGAUUACUAGAAGAA
rnacentral:lncRNA from 1 species